UACAGAGGGUGCGAGCGUUGUCCGGAAUCACUGGGCGUAAAGGGCGCGUAGGCGGCCUGAUAAGUAGGGGGUGAAAUCCUGUGGCUUAACUGCAGGGCUGCCUCCUAGACUGUUAGGCUCGAGCACGGUAGAGGCAGAUGGAAUUCCCGGUGUAGCGGUGGAAUGCGUAGAGAUCCGGGAAGAACACCCGGUGGCGAAGGCGGCCUGCUGGGCA
rnacentral:rRNA from 1 species